GCCCUGUUCACGGCCUCCGGCGUCGUCGUGCAGGAUGGGCGAUUCAGCUAUCAGAACCUGUUCGACGCCAUCGUCGACGCGGUCUUCGCGGCGCUGGAGAGAGUGGGAGGGGCGAACGUGGCGGUGGUGGUGUCGGAGAGCGGGUGGCCGUCGGCGGGCGGAGGAGCCGAAGCGAGCACCAGCAACGCGCGGACGUACAACCAGAACUUGAUCAGGCAUGUUGGCGGAGGAACGCCGAGGAGACCAGGGAAGGAGAUCGAGGCGUACAUAUUCGAGAUGUUCAACGAGAACCAGAAGGCUGGAGGGAUCGAGCAGAACUUUGGCCUGUUUUAUCCCAACAAGCAGCCCGUCUACCAAAUAAGCUUCUAGAAACUAACUUGUAAGGUUGAUGAAUCAUCUCCUACCUACCUACCUACCUACGAAUAAAACAUGAAAUGAAGCACCAGAAUAAAGGGAGAAUUCUGAUCAUGGAGAAAGUUGAAUCAUGAUGAUAUACAACAAACACCCCUCUUUACUCAUUAUCAGUAUGUUACAAGUUUCUGGAAACUUGAACGGAUCACAAUUUGGACCUACAAGGAUUUUGGGUCAUAAUUAUUUCAUUGAACUAUAUAUUCAAAAAAAGAUGUGUUUGGAGUGCUUAAUACAGUAUGACUUCAGUUUGCAAGAUUACCUCUUCAGCGUCAGCUUCAGCAUGCCAAAAAACCAUCAUCUGCUAUGGGGCAUGUUUUACACCUUGAUGGUGCUACAUCAUCAUCAUUCAUGUUUCAUUUUAGGUCUCGUGCUCUUUAUAUAGAUCACAUAAAAGUUUGGAUCGCUUCAAGUUUCUAGGUUACAUUGUAUGCAGCACUUUGAGCCUACCGAACAUUGUGACUGCCUUUUAGAACAUUGGACUGCAGACAUGCCAGUUGAGAAUGCAGGAGAAACAAGGAAGCUUUUUAACUUGGUAAUUUCAAGCUUCCUGUUUCAAAAUUAUUAAUAGCCCACAAGAUUUCUCAAACUUUAUAUUGAUAAUUUUAGUUCAAACAAUGAUUAGAGUAAUUUACGUGCACAAUCUUGUUCUCUCACGUGGCAAAGUCACCUGUCAUUUCAAUGCAGCAAAGCAUCUGGCAGUAAAUUACGACCACCGUGGAACAUCAACAAUUGAUAGAUUGGAAAGGAAAGAGCGGCGGGAAAUGGCACCCACCAUGACAUGAGGUCUGAUUUCAUCAAAUAACUGAUGACACAGUUAUUUGAUAAAAUAAUAAUGCAUAUCUCUAAAAUUGUUAUUUGAUGAACCCAGUUUUAUGUCACAGCUCUGGCACAUUACAAAUUUUGACAUUGAAAAUAAUAAUGCAUACCUCUAAAAUAGGCAGUGGAAAAUGAAAACAUGACCCUGAGGAGGCCAACUAGGAGUUGCUAGUAAUCCUACUCCCCGAAGCACCCAAGUAGUAGAAAACACAAGCAAACAAAUAUAAUUAGGCAGUAUAAGAGCGCAUUAGUACUACAGCAUAUAAAUAAAAACAUAAAACCACCCAAGCCAACAAAUGAAGCGGGCUUCAGCACAUAUAUCCUCGAGGAAACACAAACUGACCAACAGGAUCUGACAAAAACAUUUUCUAGAUAUUUCAAACAUCAAUUGGUAAGUUCCAUGAUAGCAGUGACAAUAUCACCAUCAGCUGCUUUGAGUGCCUUGACAGCCUUCGACCUGGAAACCCCAGCCUGGGUCAUCACCAAUUCGAUGUCUUUCAGCUCCACCCCAGUUUCGUCAACUUCUUCGUCAUCGUGUGCUGCGGCAGAUGGCUCAGGUUUUGAGAUCACAUGGCUCAGAUCAGGGGCCUUGAACUGCUCCGCAGCCUGAGUCUGCAACUGUGAGCUCAGGUCCUCAAUUUUGGCCUCUCCAAAAAUGACAUAGGUGUCUGAGGUUGGGCUCUUGAAAACAUCUGGUUUUGAGAUGACAAAUAAUAUCUGAGGCAUCACAAGAAUUUUCUUUCUUUAGAAUUCUAUUCUAAAGCAAGAAAUAAAAUUGUACAAAUUUUCCCCACAACUUACAUUUUUGCUCUUCUUCACAGUGACACGACUAACACCAGGUAUUGGCUUCAUACCAAGCUUCAGCAUAGCCUUUCGACUUUUUUUCUCGCUUCUACUCUGCUUUGAUCUUCCAGAAGCAUCACCUGCUUGCCCUACAAAUAGUUAAAGAGAUAUCAUACGAACUUUUUAAAGUCCAAGAGAAUAUAGGGUAAACAAAUAACCCAUAAAACAUACACAAGAAUGGCAUAUGUUCAAAACCAUCUCAAGCUAAAAGAACAAAAAAAUCUACCAUUCCAUUUUUCUAUCAGAAACCCACAACCAUGAUCAUGUAGGCUCAAUAUGUAACUAUGGGAUCCUCGAGAAAAGUGGAACCUUUGGAAAGAAGGAUGGCAAGUAAAAUAAAUGCAUCAUUACAGAACCUUGUUACCAACUUUCACUUGAGAGCUCACAGUACAUGCAGCAAAAACCUCCAACUGUCAAACGCCUAAAAGAUGUACCAUAAAUACUUAGUGCAGAAAGAACAGCGCAACAUAUAUAUAUGAGAACCAUACUAUUCUACAAUAGUGGUGUUUUAGUGGACAACUAUGGGAAAUUAAAUGAGCCUCGAAUAAGAUCAGGAUACACUGCUAUAACUGACUUUUAGAUUUAAAUAACUACUUGCAAACUGAUAAGACAUAGGGUUAAGAUCUAUAAGGCAGCUCACAAAAAAAUUA
rnacentral:lncRNA from 1 species